CACAGAUACACACGUCAAACUUAUAACACCCCUCUUUUUGGGUCGGGGGUUAAAAAUGGAAUUGAAUUGAUUUGAAAACAUGUUUGUGAUUGGUUGGUGAUUCAAAAUGGUUACCGCCCACUAUUUUUGUCUCUAUCAUUUGUAAGGAAUUGAGUAACACAGAGAGCGCUAUACUAAUUUGUUUCCGCGGAUAGGUCAUUCUUUUAUAAAAAUAAAAUUAUGUAAACGGAAGUCAUUACUUCCUUAUUCUGUUUUUAAAUUGUAAUUUCUUGAUAGAUUUGUCGGUUCUCACUUAUUCUAGUUAGCUGAAGUCUAAAUGAGCUUGUGCACUGUAUUUUAAUUUUUCUAAACGCAUGGUAUGUGAAAAGUGGAAAUUUUCUUUUAAAAAUUAACUCAUUGACUAAAAUGAAAUUUUAAUUUUGCGAACGGUUCAAUUCCCGUGCUUUUUUGGCUAUAGUUUUAACUUGUAAAUUGUGUUUGUAUUGUAUCUAUCAAAUAAUUAAAUACACCCCUUCUAUUAUCAAAGGCCGCGAGAAUCAAUAAAUAACAACCAAUGGAACUCUUUUCGGUUUUGUUCAUUCAAAGUUGAUAAAAUCAGUGGCAUGUCGCGGUGGUUAUGCUAGGCCUGCAAUAUGUUUGAUUUUAGUGCAUGAGCUCAUUAUUACAAAGAGUAAAAGGACUGAUAAUGUAUUGUGGUCUCUUGAUACUAUUUUAAUUAUGGCCAUAAAUGUAGCUUAAUAGUUUCUUUAAUUAAAUAAAAAAAUACGAAUCAAACUCGCACACGAAGGGUUCCGUACAAAAAAUAACACAUUUAUUUAUAUUUUUUUUAAUCAUCUUUAUUGUUACAAAAUUACAAAAACAGAAUACAUGAUACACUUAAUUAAACAAAGGGCGACCUUAUCACUAGAGUGAUCUCUCCCAGGUAACCCAUAUAAUUACAAUCAUACAAAACUGUAAGACGGGGGAGUCGUCAUGCAGCAUAUAUACAAUUAUUUUAAUUUUUUUUUAAUUUUCAUGGCUGAAAUUUUUAUUGUUUUGUUGUUAUAGUGGCAAUAGAUAUAUACAUUUUGUGAAAAUUUCAAUUCGCAGACGGAAGGACGGAGAGUGGAUUCCUAGUAAUAGGGUCCCAUUGGCACCGUCCGGGUACGGAACCCUGAAAAAAAAAACGUCAGUCCAAAAUUUGAAUUAACCCUGUAAUAAAAUUACAAUUGUAUUUAACAAACAGUUAACAAUACUUCAAUACAGAGAUUAAUUCAAUUCUGAUUCUGAAAAGAUUCAAUACAGUAAUAAAAUCGGAAUUUAAGAUAUUCACCUCAAUGGUAAGAAAUACUGAAUUUAAUGAACACAACGGUGUAAUUAUCAGGACUACAACAUUUCACCAAACUAAUUCCAAGAUUUUGAAAAAAAAACUCAUUGUAAAAGAAAAAAUAUGGGGGUAAAACCCCCUUUUGCAUUGGGGAUUAAAGAAAUAAGUGUAUAAUGCAUACAUUUUGAUAUCUCACUCGUCAUUUUAGCUCUGUCAACGGUCAUGCCAAACGUACGAUUUUAGACCUUAAUUUAAAGGUGAGCCGUACUUUUAACAGCAGUUGACACAGAGGGUACAAGUGGCGAGUGAGAUCUCAUAAUGUACGCUCGGUCUAUGCUUCAAGAGAUCGCAAUCCAUUUUGGGUCCCAAGCGUGUCACUUUAGUGUAAUUCUGUGAUCGCGAUACAUUUAAUAAGAUAGUGGAACUGCUUGCUUUAAACUGUUCUCAAAGUGUGACUGGUGUUUAAUGAAUGAUGAUGGUGUUAAAAUAUUCCACGAAUACUGAGCAAAUAGAUGUAGGCGUCUUAAUACAUGUGACCAUUUGGUGUCACGUAAAAAGACCUCUGGCGUUGAACCUGCGCGGUGGGUGAGUUAUCGAUCUAUAUGAUACUAGAGAAUGCCCGCGGCUUCGCCCGCGUGGAUUUCGGGUUUUUUUAAUCCCAUAGGAACUCUUUGAUUUUCCGGAAUAAAAAGUAGCCUAUGUCCUUCCCCGGGAUGUAUCCCAAGUCUAUACCAAACAUUAAAAUCGGUUGAGCGGUUGGGCCGUGAAAACAUAGCAGACAGACAGACAGACACACUUUCGCAUUUAUAAUAUUAGUAUGGAUUGGUAUAAUGACUCAUUGGUUCGUCUUGCGUUGCGAGGUAACCUUUCGUUUUGCGGGCUAUUAGAUGAGAACCAUCCAACAUACCCAUAUAAAAAAACAAUA